AUGAAUCCGAUAACAUUGUUUCCACUUUUGCCAUUAAAAUUUUAAGCUAGGUUUUCUUGAUCUACCUCACACAAACUGUCUAUGUUUCUAAAUAAGCAAAGCUAACCCUUGCUAUUGGAACUACACUGAAUGUGAAAUAGAAAAAUACACUUCCUUUAGAAAAAUAAACUUAUUGGCCAAUGUUGAGACAAUAUCAGUAAGUAUGUUUCUUAUAUAUUUCACGUAAUAUGUUCAUGUGUAAUAUAUAGCUUGUGUACAAUAAUGUACAUCUAGAAUAUUGUGUUAGCUGUAAAUUGGUGAUUUUAUUAUUGUAGUCUGGUUUUGUAGGUUAAAAAUAGCUUACUAGUAAUGUCAGCUCAUCCUUUACAUUUUACAAAAGGAAUAAUUCUUGGUAAGCUUUGCAUACAGAUGAAUUACUUUUGUAGGCCCAAUAUCUAGUCUAUUUUUGAGAGUUCUUUAACUUUUAUUACUAAAGUUGAGAAAAAACAACACCCUAAUUAUUGUGAUCAUUAUUCCUGCCCCUUUUGAAGUAUAUUCCCAAUUUUGUUUCAUCACAAGAAAUAUGAAGGGGAAGAUACACCAUUAAAAAUAUUGGGAAAACUGUAAUUUUUUCUUCCCUGCAUUUGAUACCUUUUCCUGCUUUUCAUUUAUUCCCUCCAAAUAAGCUGUUGGUGGGGCAUUACUGAGAACAUUGUUUUUUUAAUCAUUCAUGCCAUAGGUCAUUACAUGUACACCACUGGAAUGUAUACAUUGUUAUCUAGUAUGUUAAUUGGUUAUAAUGAUAUUUUAAAUAAAAAAGGAAAAAAAAAAGUUUGACCACUAUGCACAUAGUGUUUCUUCAUUGCUAGGAUUUCACUGCAGCUGGAGUUGUGUUAGCAUCCGUCUUCCCUGAGAAUUCCAUCUGUUUAAAAUGGUAUUUAAGUCCUGUCUUGUGUACGAGCUCACUUGUAGACAAAAGUGAUGUUUCUUCCAUUUCUCUAUUCUUGUGGGCUUUGGCUGUGCCACAGACUGAUAGCAUCAAGUGUGUUUACAGCUGCUGAGAAUCCAUUCUUACUUCUUUAAUACCAGCUCUAGCCUGCCUUCUUUCCUGGAAAUAAAGCUGCUGAGACCCAAUGUGGUAAAAAGAGCCUUCACUUACUGCAGAGGCUCAUCUUCAAAAUGACCUGAAAUUUAUUACUCAUGAAGAAGAGGAAUAGAUGUUUCUGGAGCACAACAGUCAACUGAAAAAAAAAAAAAAGGUUAGUUCCAUUAAUCACUUUGAGUGGACACAGUUUGAUUUGUGAAACUGAAAGCAGGAAUGAAUUUUAUCGUGUCUGCCAGAUUAAUAUCAUGUAGAAUGCGACAUAGUUAACAGAUGCUCUUACAGUGGAAUGGAAUAGGUGGGUUUGGUUCCCAGUCCAGCUAUAUAUAUGUGUAUAUAUAUGUUGUCUAGUAUUCUGACUGCCUAAAGAAUAUUUAGAAUUAUUCAUUUGAUUUCACUGAGAGCUAGCCAUGCAGUUUAUGUCGUGCUUCCCCUCCUUACCUCACAUACCUGUUUUAGGCUCCCUGUCAGCAUGGCUGGUUGUAGCGUUGCCAGAACUAAAGCAAGUAGUCUGCACUUGGAACAUCCAGGAACUAAUGCAGUAUAAAUAGUCUAAGGGAUGGGGGCUGUCAGGAGGAUGGAUGUAAUGAAAGGGACCUGCGCUGGGGGGUAAAAAUAAAAGGGUAUUAAAGUAGCCUACUUGCUAUUACUUUGGAUUGAAUGUCCCAGAUAGUACAAGCUGUCACUUUUUACCAGUCCUGGUGUUCUACUUACAAGGAAUUACAGCUCAGUUCAGGCAAUGCUCUAAUAUUGAGGUUUAUUUUGUGAGGACUGUGAUUGUACUCGGUGCUGCCUCAACUCACUGUGCCAUUCCAGCUGAAAAUCAUUGUUACAACAGGGGUUGCUACUCACAUUAUGCAUCUUAAUGCUGUUGUUUUAAAAAAGCCAUUGUCUUUCUUGUAGAUUCAGUUGUGUUCCUGUAAGUUGUUGAUCAGUUGUGAUUAGUAAUAACACCCUGGAAGGUUGUGAUCAUUAACACAGGGGUAAGGCUACUGCUGGUGCCUGCAGGGGGCAGGCUGCUCCUGUUGAACAGUCAGGAAUGUGCCAUGCUGCUUGACAGCAGGGGUAGUAAAGAAUGCAGCGCAGCUGGAUAUUCUGGAGGGAAGGGAAAAUGUUUUGAAAUAACUGAACUGCUUAGUUUUAUUUGACCACUUUGUUUGACUUGCUAUAACUAGGAAAUAUUAGGUAAAUACGUUUUUUCUUUGCUCACUUUAAAUGGUUUACAUGUCUGUAGAAAGGAGAAGCACUAUAGUGACAGAAAAGGGUAACAUCUAUUAAAACAUGGAUAUCUGUGAGAUAAGGAGAAAGUCAGUACUAAAAGGUGUGCAAUCUGCUGGUAUUUAAAAAAAAAAAAAAAAAAAAAAAAUUCCAAGGUUAUUUCCAGAUGAUGAGUUAUAUUCUUCUUUAGUAAGAAAAUAUGUCAGUUUCAGGUCAUUUAAA